CUUUAUGUCAGUAAAUGUUUAUCUGAUUGUUAGCAAUAAUAAAAAAUCCUGAUUUAGAUAAAAUGGAUUCAAAUACAGUUUUUGAAACAAAACGAAUGUGAUUUGAAGAUCCCUAGGAAGAUCAAAUUCCUAGCUUACAUUCAACAAGUAUUUGUUAUUAGAGAACAAGUAACACAGUUAGUGGUGUAGGGAAGCAAACGAAUGUAACACCAAUUGAAAGUCCUUCAACAAGUAGAGAUGCACACAUGUUUCAAUCAUUUGAGAUACCCUUUUGUAGAAGUAUUUGGAAGAUAACUAUUAAUAAUUUCAUUUGUAAAGAUACGAUUUGUAAAAAAGUAUAUACAAAGUGGUUUUGCUGGUAUUAAAUAAAUAAAUAAAAAUA
rnacentral:lncRNA from 1 species